rnacentral:sRNA from 1 species
UAUAAAGGCGGACUUCAUGCCAUAGGCAU